UACGUAGGGUGCAAGCGUUGUCCGGAAUUAUUGGGCGUAAAGAGCUCGUAGGCGGUUUGUCGCGUCGAAUGUGAAAACCCGGGGCUCAACCCCGGGCCUGCAUUCGAUACGGGCAGACUAGAGUUCGGUAGGGGAGUCUGGAAUUCCUGGUGUAGCGGUGAAAUGCGCAGAUAUCAGGAGGAACACCGGUGGCGAAGGCGGGAC
rnacentral:rRNA from 1 species